UACGUAGGGUGCGAGCGUUGUCCGGAAUUAUUGGGCGUAAAGAGCUCGUAGGUGGUUUGUUACGUCUGCUGUGAAAACCUAGGGCUUAACCCUGGGCCUGCAGUGGAUACGGGCAGACUAGAGGUAGGUAGGGGAGAAUGGAAUUCCCGGUGUAGCGGUGAAAUGCGCAGAUAUCGGGAGGAACACCGGUGGCGAAGGCGGCUCUCUGGGCCUUACCUGACACUGAGGAGCGAAAGCGUGGGGAGCGAACAGG
rnacentral:rRNA from 1 species